AUACUACCUGGCAGGGAGAUACCAUGAUCAUGAAGGUGGUUCACCCAGAGCGAGGCUCAGCCAUUACACCGGUUGAUGAUAACCCGAAUUCCCCAAAUUUAGGAAUCUCGACUGCAUAAUUUGUGUGGUAGUGGGACUGCGUCCGCGCUCUCCUGAU